rnacentral:lncRNA from 1 species
GCUGGAGAGAAUGAGCUUGGAGCCGCAGGGCUUAAUCCCGCGCGGCUCAGAGAUGGGUUUCUGGACUCGCGAAGCAGCUGCAACAAGGCAUCACUCACUGUAUAAGUAUUUCCAUUUCUGAGAGCAAAAGGAAGAACUUAAGCGGGCGGCACUUGGAGUGUAAAUUGCUUUGUAGUAUUUAAAGGCAGAAUGGAUCCUGGGCAGCCGAGCUGCAACAAACCGGCAGGACUUCCUGUGAAAUCAUGACCACCAUGUGCUCUUUCAGCCUCUAUCAGUUCCUACCUCUAAGCACCUGAGAGCCAAAGCAAACCACAGGAAACCACAGGUACUAACUCUUUUAGACCUGAUGAAGUGUCUCCCAAAUACAGUCUGGCAUGGUGAGUACUGGAGUAACUGGCAAUCUUUUAGAAUGGAGAGAAAAUAAGAAAUUGGGAAAAAUUUGGCAUUUGCUUUCAAUAGAGAUCAGAUUCUGACCUCUGGAAAGAAGAAAUAAGGGAAAAUGUUUAUGAUGGGGAAGGAUCAAAGGGGAACUUGUGGGAAAGGAAGAGGCUGCCAGAAAAGGAGUUUUGAGAUCUGAAAAGAGACUUGUGUAUGUCUGAGGGAAGAGUUGGAGAGAGGUAACCAGGGGAGAAAAUCUGGGAAGUUUUGAGCAGUGAAGAUCUGAUGAGAUGGAAAAGGAGAAAGGACACUAAUAUUUAUUAGGCCUCUAUUGUAUACCUGCACAUAGGUUAUUCAAAUACAUGUACAGUAUUCAUUUUUGGAGGCAAAAAUUGAGGUACAGAAAAA